ACUCAACGUGCUCCAAAAAACACAACACCUUUAGGAUUUGCUCAAUGGAAUCUAUACCUUGUAUACUGGAUUGAUCUAGGGCACGAAGACGAAGAAUCCUGCGAGUGGGACGUAUAACAUGAAAGAAACCAACGAAGGAAUUCUCGUCGAAGAGUAUUCACGGCUUUGUGUAAAGAUUCAGAAAUUCAUUUGGAAACAUAAAACAUAAACAUAAAAGCUUUUCAAUUAACAUGAUGAUCCUUUAAUCCUUUGGAAAACCUACAAGUUCCUCAAACGCAUCCAUUCCAUUUGGUAUAAACGCCAAACGCGCAGCUCUACUAACAAUGGAAUAUAUAAUAAUUGUUCAAAAAUCAGUUUUGUGACCACAUCGAUGGUCCACCAUCGAUCACGUCAGCAGCUUCUUCUCCGCGAUGAGCAUCUCCCUUAGCACUCGCCGUGUCCAACUGCGGAAACGUUCCUUGCUGCGAUCGCUCAAAGAUCGGAGCAUGGGCACCAUGCUGAGCAGGAAAUGGCGGUUCGAUUCGUUGGAUAUUUUGGCCAUGGCUGAUGGCGGUGGCGCUCGAAAAAUGGGCAGUAGUAUGAAGUCCAGAUUGGUUUGCCACAACCAUUGAUCGGUGCCCAAUAGCCUGGUCACCUCCUCGUCCACAUCCAGAUCGAAUGCCGGCUCGUCCGUAACCAGAAAGAGUCUCUCCUCCGCCUCGAAUUCGAUGCCACCCUUUUUGAAUGCCGAAUAGCUCGCCACCGAUUGCAGAUAUUGUUGCGGAUGUAGAAUUAGCUUGCUUUUCUUCACCUGAACACGGCAACGCGCAGGAGUCUUGGGCUUGUGUGGCGGGAAGACAUCGCGAACGAACUCCAUUUGUUUGGAGUGCGGCCAGCUCCAGGCGUUGCCUUGGUGGAUCUUAGUGCGGUAGUUGUUACGCAGACUCUUCCAACGCCGCUUGCACUCGUCAACGCCAAGUCCUACCGCAUUGGAGACAUCCAGCCAGUCGAUAGGGAUUUGCGGCCGACGCAGCGAGAAUUUGAUGCGACUGUCCCAGAUCGAUGGACGAAGUGCAAUCUCGCGGAGUAGGUGGUUUGUCUCCAGAUUGUUGGUCGGAUACUUGUUAUCGGCAGAAGUCAUCGCACAUGCACGUGUUGAUGGAAUUCCGAAAAUAAAGAAGGAAUUUAAAAUCGAG
rnacentral:lncRNA from 1 species